UAUGUUUAAGGGCUACUUAAGAAAUUAAAAUUGGAACGAUACAGAGAAGAUUAGCGUGGCCCCUGCGCAAGGAUGACACGCACAAAUCAAGAAAUGGUCCAAAUUUUU